UGCCCCCUGAUUAAUAAUUAAAGGGCUGCAGUAUUUUGACUGUACAAAGGUAGCAUAAUCAUUAGUCAUUUAAUUGAUGACUUGUAUGAAAGAUUGGAUGAAAUAUAAACUGUCUCAUUGAGUAAUUUAUAGAAAUUAAUUUUUUAAUUAAAAAGUUAAAAUAAUUUAAAAAGACGAGAAGACCCUAUAGAGUUUUAUUUUUUUUUUAUUUAAUCAUAUUUAUAAAAAUAUAUUAAUAAAAUUUUUAAAUUAAAAAAUAAUUUUAUUGGGGUGAUAGAAAAAUUAAAUAAACUUUUUUUUUAAUUUAUUACAUAAAUAAGUGGUUUAUUGAUCCAAUUUUAUUGAUUAUAAGAAAAAAUUACCUUAGGGAUAACAGCGUAAUUUUUUUUUUUAGUUCAUAUAAAAAAAAAAGUUUGCGACCUCGAUGUUGGAUUAAGAUAAAAUUUAAAUGCAGAAGUUUAAAAUUUUGA
rnacentral:rRNA from 1 species